rnacentral:misc_RNA from 1 species
CGAAAUGCGAUAAGUAAUGUGAAUUGCAGAAUUCAGUGAAUCAUCGAAUCUUUGACCGCACAUUGCGCCCCUUGGUAUUCCAUGGGGCAUGCCUGUUCGAGCGUCAUUUGUACCCUCAAGCUCUGCUUGGUGUUGGGUGUUUGUCCCCGUCUCCGCGCGUGGACUCGCCCCAAAGUGAUUGGCAGCCGGCGUACUGGUCCCGGAGCGCAGCACAUGUCGCGCAAACGAGUGCCUUGGUACGGCGGCGUCCAUAAGCCCCUCUCUCACGCUCUUGACCUCGGAUCAGGUAGGGAUACCCGCUGAACUUAAGC